rnacentral:misc_RNA from 1 species
GAUGAAGAACGUAGCGAAAUGCGAUAAGUAAUGUGAAUUGCAGAAUUCAGUGAAUCAUCGAAUCUUUGAACGCAUCUUGCGCUCCUUGGUAUUCUGAGGAGCAUGCCUGUUUGAGUGUCAUUAAAUUCUCAACUACACUGACUUUGAAUUGGUGUGGCUUGGAUUUGGGGGGAAAAUUGUUGUGGGCUUUUUGUAUAGUCUGCUCCCCUGAAAUUGAUUAGCGGUACCUUUGUGGAACUGUCUACAGGUGUGAUAAUUAUCUACAUCUUAGACAUCUGCUGGAAUGCUGCUUUCUAAACCUUACUUGUAAUGACAAUCUUGACCUCAAAUCAGGUAGGACUACCCGCUGAACUUAAGCAUAUCAAUAAGCGGAGGA